AUACGGUGCUAUGGCGAGACACAGAGUAGACCGUUGACAAAGGAAUUAUUCAAUAGUUGUUAUUUUGUUUUCUUUGCUUACAAAAAGUGUUCCCGUCGCUUCAUAUAACCCAGAUUGCAUUUCUGAUGGCAGAUGGAGUAUUCUGACAAUGACUUUCAUACCUUUUAUGGACCUUGACACUGUUAUUUACAUGGCAGUCUAUGGGACAGUCACAGGCCUCCCGAUUUUCAUCCAAAAUAUCUUAAAUUGUGUUCUGAAGACGAACAGAGCUUUUACGGGUUUGGAACGACAUGGGGAUGGUUCCUUGUGCUGAACGGAAGUUGUGUUGACUCGGUUGGCUCGUGAUUGGUGGCUGCCGUCCAACGGCAACACGGGUAUCGGGGAGGGGUGUUAGUAGAAGUGCAGUUUGCCUACUUCAGAUGUGCUGUGAACAGAACAGAAGGAAGUGAGGAGACAAAAGGACAGAAAAACAGCUACUAGACCCCCAUCUACCCUGACCUCAUCCUUCAAGCUGGAAUGAGAUGAGAGCAGAGCUGAACAAAAGCAGUCUGCCAACACACGGUCAUCAGAUACAGACUCAGGGGAGUGAGGAGAGCCUGCAUGGAGAGCCAG
ensembl:lncRNA